CGCCUCCCGCAAAUAGAAUGUAUUGGAGGUCCUGCCUGCCCAGUGACAACUGAUUUAACGGCCGCGGUAUUUUGACCGUGCAAAGGUAGCGUAAUCACCUGUCUCUUAAAUAGAGACCCGUAUGAAUGGCAAGACGAGGGUUUUACUGUCUCCUCCCCCCAGUCAAUGAAAUUGAUCUACCCGUGCAGAAGCGGGUAUAAAAACAUAAGACGAGAAGACCCUAUGGAGCUUUAGGCCAAGAUCAAAUAUGUAAAAAACCUAAUCUUUCUAAAGAAUUAAAAAUGUAAAAAACAAUUAUUUAUGACUCUUACACCUUCGGUUGGGGCGACCACGGGGAAAAACAAAACCCCCACAUGGACAUGGAGUUAAACUUAACUCCUAAGCCAAGAAAAACCAUUCUAAGCAACAAAAUUUUUGACCAAAAAUGAUCCGGGAUUUUACCGAGCAAUGAACCAAGUUACCCUAGGGAUAACAGCGCAAUCCUCUCCCAGAGCCCAUAUCUACGAGGGGGUUUACGACCUCGAUGUUGGAUCAGGACAUCCUAGCGGUGCAGCUGCUGCUGAGGGUUCGUUUGUUCAACGAUUAAAGUCCU
rnacentral:rRNA from 1 species